rnacentral:rRNA from 1 species
AUGGGUGAUCUUAAUGAGCUUUUGUAUGAUAUGGAUAAAAGUAAUGCUAAUGUGAAUUAUCAUCGCAUGUAUUCUUUUCAUGCUUUGGUUAAGAAUUGUGGUUUUUUUUAUCUGUGAUUUUCGGGGCCUGCUUAUACUAAGACUAAUAGGAUAUUUUCUUCUAAACCUACUUACUAAAGGCUAGAUAGAGGCUUAGUUAAUCCUCAUUGGUGUUCUCAGUACCCCCUCACUAAAGUUCUUAAUCUUCCUAUAAUUCUUAGUGAUCAUGCUUCCAUCCUUAUCACCAUUGAAGGACAAUACAAAAAACCUAAACAAAGCUUCAAGUUUGAUAAUUGGUGGUUUCAAGAGAUGGAUUUUCAGUCUUUUGCUAGGAAUGCUUGGAUCUCUUCUACCAAUAUAAAAUUUUCUUCUCGUACUAGCAAUCUUGCAGGUGCAUUAAACGUCUGGUGUAGAAAAAAGAAACCUUUUCACCAGGAGCAGGCCAACCUAGAAGGUCAGAUCAACAAAAUUCAAGUGCAACCACUUCAUAUGCAGGACCAUCAACUGGAAUCAUCUCUCAUUGUCAGGUAUGAAGAAAAUAUGUCAAAGCUUACUGAUUUCUAUAGACAAAGAGCUAAGAAAAAGUUUGCCACCCAAGGCGAUAGGAAUACCAAAUUUUCACACCAUGCCAUUCUUAAAAGAAGGAAAAGAAAUACUAUUGUCUCCAUAAAAUAUGAGAAUGACAACAUCCAUUUUAAACCUCAGGCCAUUGCUAAUAAGUUUGUUAAUUAUUUUAGGUAUAUAUUUGCUUGCAACCAACCUUCCCCUUGA